UGGUCAAGUUAUUAAGGGUGCAGGGCGGAUGCCUUGGCACUAGGAGCCGAUGAAGGACGUGAUAAGCUGCGAUAAGCUUCGGGGAGUUGCACGUAAACUUUGAUCCGAAGAUUUCCGAAUGAGGAAACUCACUUAGAGUAAUGUCUAAGUAUCAUUAAGUGAAUACAUAGCUUAAUGAGGGGAACUCAGGGAACUGAAACAUCUAAGUACCUGAAGGAAGAGAAAGAAAUUCGAUUCCGUAAGUAGCGGCGAGCGAACGCGGAUUAGCCCAAACCAAUAAAGUUUUCUUUGUUGGGGUUGCGGACAUAUCAUAACGAAGAGGUAUCGUAAUUGAAGAGGUUUGGAAAGACCCACCACAGAAGGUAAUAGUCCUGUAUGUUAAACGAGAAGACUUUAGAUAUGAUCCAGAGUACCACGGGACACGUGAAACCCUGUGGGAAGCAGGAGGGACCACCCUCCAAGGCUAAAUACUACCUAGUGACCGAUAGCGUAUAGUACCGUGAGGGAAAGGUGAAAAGAACCCCGGGAGGGGAGUGAAAUAGAACCUGAAACCCUGCACUUACAAGCUGUGGAAGCACAUUUCUUGUGUGACCGCGUACUUUUUGUAGAACGGGCCAACGAGUUACGUUAAGUAGCAAGGUUAAGCACUUAAGGUGCGGAGCCGUAGCGAAAGCGAGUUUUAACUGAGCGUUCAGUUACUUGACGUAGACCCGAAACCGGGCGACCUACCCAUGAGCAGGAUGAAGCGAAAGUAAAAUUUCGUGGAGGUCCGAACCCACGAGCGUUGAAAAGCUCGGGGAUGACUUGUGGGUAGCGGU
rnacentral:rRNA from 1 species